rnacentral:rRNA from 1 species
CCUACGGGUGGCAGCAGUGAGGAAUAUUGGUCAAUGGAAGAGAUCCUGAACCAGCCAAGCCGCGUGAAGGAAGACUGCCCUAUGGGUUGUAAACCUCUUUUGUCUGGGAAUAAAGCCCAGUACGUAUACUGUUCUGCAUGUAUCCUAUGAAAAAGGAUCGGCUAACUCCGUGCCAGCAGCCGCGGUAAUACGGAGGAUCCGAGCGUUAUCCGGAUUUAUUGGGUUUAAAGGGUGCGUAGGCGGGCGCUUAAGGCAGGCGUAAAAGUUGGGGGCUCAACCGUAAAAGUGCAGUUGAUACUGGCUGACUUGAGUGGGGCAGAAGUACGCGGAAUUCGUGGUGUAGCGGUGAAAUGCAUAGAUAUCACGAAGAACUCCGAUUGCGAAGGCAGCGUACUGG